rnacentral:rRNA from 1 species
UACGGAGGAUGCGAGCGUUAUCCGGAUUUAUUGGGUUUAAAGGGUGCGUAGGCGGGAUGCCAAGUCAGCGGUAAAAAUGCGGUGCUCAACGCCGUCGAGCCGUUGAAACUGGCGUUCUUGAGUGGGCGAGAAGUAUGCGGAAUGCGUGGUGUAGCGGUGAAAUGCAUAGAUAUCACGCAGAACUCCGAUUGCGAAGGCAGCAUACCGGCGUCCUACUGACGCUGAGGCACGAAAGCGUGGGUAUCGAACAGG